UGCCCGGCCCCCAAAAGCGUGGGAAAUUAUCCAUAGCUCCCUUAUCCAGAACGGCGCUCUAAAAUAACCAGGACAGGACCCUAAACAAAAAUCUAGAAUUCUCUCACUUUCUUCCUCAGUUUCGUUUCAAUGGCGCCUGUUCGCCUUCCAUACUGUCCAACAUCCUCUCAAUUCUCUACCCAACAAUUACUACAAUUCCCCCAAACAAACCCCUUAUCCUCUCUCCCCAAAGCCCCCCAAUUUACCACCAACCCCUUCCCUCAUCUCUCCAUUCUUUCUCUCUCUACUUCCUCAUUUCCUCUCUCCCACAUACUUCCCCUCAAAACCCAUAAACCCAGCAACCCUUUUAUCUUCAGUGCCUCCUCAUCUUCAACCCAAUCCCAAGCUACCAUUGAAACCCCAGAAUUAACCGAGUCAACCCAGCCCCAUCUCUCUGAAGGAGAAGAUGAAGAAGCAGAAGUUGAUGAAGCCACUCAGACCAAAGUACUCGCCCAAAACAUGCCAUGGACGAGCACUGUCGAUGACGUUCGUUCUCUAUUUGAGAAAUACGGCACCGUUGUGGACAUAGAACUCUCGAUUUAUAACAAGAAAAGGGCUACGAACAGGGGAUUGGCUUUCGUUACUAUGGGCUCACACGAGGAAGCUUUGUCAGCUCUCAACAACCUGCAAUCCUAUGAAUUUGAGGGUCGAAUUUUAAAGCUUGACUGGGCAAAGCCAAAGGAGAAAACUAAUCCUGUUGCCCAGAAGCCCAAGCCGGCACCAAUUCACAACUUAUUUGUUGCAAAUUUGCCAUAUCAGGCAAGAGCCAAAGAUCUGAAGGAGUUUUUCAAUUCUGAAAAUGGCAAUGCUGUUUCUGCAGAUGUUAUAUUUCAUGAGAAGCCGAGAAGGUCAGCUGGGUAUGGAUUUGUUUCCUUCUAUACCAAGCAGGAGGCUGAGGCAGCACUUUCUGCUUUUCAAGGAAAGUUGUUCAUGGGAAGGCGAAUUCGAGUAGCAAAUAGUAAAAGAUUUUUGAGACAAGGGACAAAGGCAACCAUCCUAUUAGAGAGUGCCUCAACAACCUUGAACCCUAACACUGAACGGUCAGAAGAAGCUGAUGCGGCUUGAUGGUGUAUCUUUUGGGUGGCAAUGAAGUUUUCUUCCUCUUGACAUUAGCAGGGGUUAGCGGGGUAUUAGUUUGUUAGUCCGUAGGCGUUCAAAGGCUGUCCAUAGCCCUUAACCCCAAACCGCCCCUCGCGGGGCUCAAACCAGGCCUCCAGUGAGGGAGGCGUACCUACCAAGCGUUUGAGACCCACUAGAAAUGUAGUAUGGGUUGGUACUUCCGAACUCAUGAGAGGAGAUGAGAAGAAUCACACCAGUUAUCGAAUUUCACUACGCCGGAAACUUUACGCUCAGUGAAGCUGUACCUUCAAUUUUGUGAUCAUACCUCUAGCUUUCCUCUAUUGUUUCCGAACCUGCUUGUUGCUCUGUUGGGUUACCUGGAAGGCUUGAAAUGGAAAAAUGGCUUCUUA